GAUGAACGCUGGCGGCGUGCCUAAUACAUGCAAGUCGAGCGAACGGACGAGAAGCUUGCUUCUCUGAUGUUAGCGGCGGACGGGUGAGUAACACGUGGAUAACCUACCUAUAAGACUGGGAUAACUUCGGGAAACCGGACCUAAUACCGGAUAAUAUUUUGAACCGCAUGGUUCAAAAGUGAAAGACGGUCUUGCUGUCACUUAUAGAUGGAUCCGCGCUGCAUUAGCUAGUUGGUAAGGUAACGGCUUACCAAGGCAACGAUGCAUAGCCGACCUGAGAGGGUGAUCGGCCACACUGGAACUGAGACACGGUCCAGACUCCUACGGGAGGCAGCAGUAGGGAAUCUUCCGCAAUGGGCGAAAGCCUGACGGAGCAACGCCGCGUGAGUGAUGAAGGUCUUCGGAUCGUAAAACUCUGUUAUUAGGGAAGAACAUAUGUGUAAGUAACUGUGCACAUCUUGACGGUACCUAAUCAGAAAGCCACGGCUAACUACGU
rnacentral:rRNA from 1 species